rnacentral:rRNA from 1 species
AUUGAACUGAAGAGUUUGAUCCUGGCUCAGAUUGAACGCUGGCGGUAUGCUUUACACAUGCAAGUCGAACGGCAGCACGGGGCAAC